GACGAACGCUGGCGGCGUGCUUAACACAUACAAGUCGAACGGUAAGGCCCUUCGGGGUACACGAGUGGCGAACGGGUGAGUAACACGUGGGUGAUCUGCCCUGCACUUCGGGAUAAGCCUGGGAAACUGGGUCUAAUACCGGAUAGGACUCCUGGCUUCAUGGUUGGGGGUGGAAAGCUUUUGCGGUGUGGGAUGGGCCCGCGGCCUAUCAGCUUGUUGGUGGGGUAAUGGCCUACCAAGGCGACGACGGGUAGCCGGCCUGAGAGGGUGACCGGUCACACUGGGACUGAGAUACGGCCCAGACUCCUACGGGAGGCAGCAGUGGGGAUUAUUGCACAAUGGGCGCAAGCCUGAUGCAGCGACGCCGCGUGAGGGAUGACGGCCUUCGGGUUGUAAACCUCUUUCAGCUAUGACGAAGCGCAAGUGACGGUAGUAGCAGAAGAAGGACCGGCCAACUACGUGCCAGCCGCCGCGGUAA
rnacentral:rRNA from 1 species